AAAUUGGAAAUCUCUCCAAGUUGCAGCAUCUUGAUCUCAGCUACAAUUAUUUUGAAGGAAGUAUACCGUCCCAACUUGGGAACCUUUCAAAUUUGCAGAAGCUUUAUCUUGGAGGAAGUGUACCGUCCCGACUUGGGAACCUUUCAAAUUUGCUGAAGCUUUAUCUUGGAGGAGGAAGUGUACCGUCCCGACUUGGGAACCUUUCAAAUUUGCUGAAGCUUUAUCUUGGAGGAGGAAGUGUACCGUCCCGACUUGGGAACCUUCCAAAUUUGCUGAAGCUUUAUCUUGGAGGCCGAUCAUAUUAUGGUGGUGCUCUCAAAAUUGACGAUGGAGAUCGUUGGCUGUCUAAUCUCAUUUCU
rnacentral:lncRNA from 1 species